rnacentral:rRNA from 1 species
GGCCAUUCACCUGCGUUUGGGGUUUGGUGGUUUCGUUCGGUAAGGCGAUCCUUCGAGCACCGUGCCAUGCCGAAUAUCUUUUUACUUUAUCCAGUGUCGCACCGCUCAUCGAGCACCGUCCUCCACCGUGGCUUCGCUGCUGGGCUCCUCAACGAGACGCACGGUGCGUUCGAUGCUAUCGGCCACCUUCCGGCGAUGUC